rnacentral:rRNA from 1 species
UACGAAGGGGGCGAGCGUUGUUCGGAUUUACUGGGCGUAAAGGGCGCGCAGGCGGCAGAUCAAGUCAGGCGUGAAAGCCCCGGGCUUAACCUGGGAACUGCGUCUGGGACUGGUUUGCUAGAGAUCGGGAGAGGAGAGUGGAAUUCCCAGUGUAGAGGUGAAAUUCGUAGAUAUUCGCAAGAACACCAGUGGCGAAGGCGGCUCACUGGCCCGAUACUGACGCUGAGGUGCGAAAGCGUGGGGAGCAAACAGGG